UGCAUCGAUGAAGAACGCAGCGAAAUGCGAUAAGUAAUGUGAAUUGCAGAAUUCAGUGAAUCAUCGAAUCUUUGAACGCACAUUGCGCCCGUCAGUAUUCUGGCGGGCAUGCCUGUUCGAGCGUCAUUACGCCCCUCAAGUCCCCUGUGGACUUGGUGUUGGGGAUCGGCGAGGCUGGUUUUCCAGCACAGCCGUCCCUUAAAUUGAUUGGCGGUCUCGCCGUGGCCCUCCUCUGCGCAGUAGUAAAACACUCGCAACAGGAGCCCGGCGCGGUCCACUGCCGUAAAACCCCCCAACUUUUUAUAGUUGACCUCGAAUCAGGUAGGACUACCCGCUGAACUUAAGCAUAUCAAUAAGCGGAGGAA
rnacentral:rRNA from 1 species